CCUGUUCUCUUGCGCCCUGUUUUUUGAACCCAGAGACUUAUAAAACAAAGAUUCUGGGAGCUAAGGAUAAAGAGUCUCUCUCUGUCUUCAAGUUGGCCUGGCAGAUGCACCGAGCUGUAAUGCAUUGGGUCAAUGGGUGCCAGGUGACCACGGUGGAGGAUGUGGUGCAACUCUUGCUGGAGCAGUUUUACAACUCUGUCUCCCCAUUGGUCUGGGAAGCAGCUCAGUUGGUCGAAGAAUGUGCAGAUGGCAGGAAAGCUGAAUGCCAACACCAUCCGACAUAUCAGCUGAUGGAGGCCCCACUGGCCGGACAAGCAAUACCUACCUGGGUCAUGCAGCGCACAGCCACCUAAGACCUGCUCACGGUGUUACUGAUGCAAGCAAAAGAGGCAUCUGUGGAAUAACUGUUGAACCACCAAGUAAGACCUGGAACCAG